UACGUAGGGGGCAAGCGUUGUCCGGAAUUAUUGGGCGUAAAGCGCGUGUAGGCGGUCCGGUAAGUCGGCUGUGAAAGUCCAGGGCUCAACCCUGGGAUGCCGGUCGAUACUGCCUGACUAGAGUUCGGAAGAGGCGAGUGGAAUUCCCGGUGUAGCGGUGAAAUGCGCAGAUAUCGGGAGGAACACCAAUGGCGAAGGCAGCUCGCUGGGACGUUACUGACGCUGAGACGCGAAAGCGUGGGGAGCAAACAGGG
rnacentral:rRNA from 1 species